GGUGCGGUGCAGGCGGGCGAGGAGGACGCCCGCCUCCUCCCAGGGGGCGGCGUCCGGGUCGUCCGGGUCCACGGGCGUGCCG
rnacentral:tRNA from 1 species